UACGUAGGGGGCGAGCGUUGUCCGGAGUUACUGGGCGUAAAGGGCGCGUAGGCGGCCACCGCAAGUCGGUUGUGAAAUCUCUGGGCUUAACCCAGAAAGGUCAACCGAUACUGCGGGGCUAGAGUGCAGAAGGGGCAACUGGGAAUUCUACGGUGUAGCGGUGAAAUGCGCAGAUAUCGGGAGGAACACCGGUGGCGAAGGCGGUUCUACUGGGCCUUCCUG
rnacentral:rRNA from 1 species